rnacentral:lncRNA from 1 species
GGACCUUCCAGGCAGGUAGGCAUCAUGGGAGUUCGUGGUUGGUGCUCAGCUAUCCGGAAUGGGCAGUUGUACACUGGUUCCUAGAAGAAACCUUCAUGCUGUGCACUGAGGUCUGUACUUCCAGAUGUUUGGACAGAUGCUGUUGACCAAGCACAGUAACCAAGA